rnacentral:rRNA from 1 species
CCUACGGGUGGCAGCAGUGGGGAAUAUUGCGCAAUGGGCGAAAGCCUGACGCAGCGACGCCGCGUGAGGGAUGAAGGUCUUCGGAUCGUAAACCUCUGUCAGCAGGGAAGAACGGUCACUGUGCUAAUCAGCAGUGAAUUGACGGUACCUGCAAAGGAAGCACCGGCUAACUCCGUGCCAGCAGCCGCGGUAAUACGGAGGGGGCAAGCGUUAUCCGGAAUUACUGGGUGUAAAGGGGGCGCAGGCGGCAAGGCAAGGCAGGGGUGAAAUCCCGGGGCCCAACGCCGGGACUGCUUUUGGAACUGGAUGGCUGGAGUGCAGGAGGGGCGAGCGGAAUUCCAGGUGUAGCGGUGAAAUGCGUAGAUAUUUGGAGGAACACCAGUGGCGAAGGCGACCUGCUGGCCUGUAACUGACGUUGAGGCGCGAAAGCGUGGGGAGCAAACAGGAUUAGAUACCCGAGUAGUC